rnacentral:rRNA from 11 species
UUUUAUUGGCAGGUCUCCCUAAAGGCACCACAUCCUAUAUGACCAUGGAGGCUAAGCAGGAUCAGCACUGGUGAGUACUUGGAUAGGAGACUACCAAUGUGUACCAAAAGCAGUAGGUU